rnacentral:rRNA from 1 species
AGCUUGCUACCUGACCUAGCGGCGGACGGGUGAGUAAUGCUUAGGAAUCUGCCUAUUAGUGGGGGACAACAUUCCGAAAGGAAUGCUAAUACCGCAUACGCCCUACGGGGGAAAGCAGGGGAUCUUCGGACCUUGCGCUAAUAGAUGAGCCUAAGUCAGAUUAGCUAGUUGGUGGGGUAAAGGCCUACCAAGGCGACGAUCUGUAGCGGGUCUGAGAGGAUGAUCCGCCACACUGGGACUGAGACACGGCCCAGACUCCUACGGGAGGCAGCAGUGGGGAAUAUUGGACAAUGGGCGAAAGCCUGAUCCAGCCAUGCCGCGUGUGUGAAGAAGGCCUUUUGGUUGUAAAGCACUUUAAGCGAGGAGGAGGCUACUUGGAUUAAUACUCUAGGAUAGUGGACGUUACUCGCAGAAUAAGCACCGGCUAACUCUGUGCCAGCAGCCGCGGUAAUACAGAGGGUGCGAGCGUUAAUCGGAUUUACUGGGCGUAAAGCGUGCGUAGGCGGCUUUUUAAGUCGGAUGUGAAAUCCCUGAGCUUAACUUAGGAAUUGCAUUCGAUACUGGGAAGCUAGAGUAUGGGAGAGGAUGGUAGAAUUCCAGGUGUAGCGGUGAAAUGCGUAGAGAUCUGGAGGAAUACCGAUGGCGAAGGCAGCCAUCUGGCCUAAUACUGACGCUGAGGUACGAAAGCAUGGGGAGCAAACAGGAUUAGAUACCCUGGUAGUCCAUGCCGUAAACGAUGUCUACUAGCCGUUGGGGCCUUUGAGGCUUUAGUGGCGCAGCUAACGCGAUAAGUAGACCGCCUGGGGAGUACGGUCGCAAGACUAAAACUCAAAUGAAUUGACGGGGGCCCGCACAAGCGGUGAAGCAUGUGGUUUAAUUCGAUGCAACGCGAAGAACCUUACCUGGUCUUGACAUAGUAAGAACUUUCCAGAGAUGGAUUGGUGCCUUCGGGAACUUACAUACAGGUGCUGCAUGGCUGUCGUCAGCUCGUGUCGUGAGAUGUUGGGUUAAGUCCCGCAACGAGCGCAACCCUUUUCCUUAUUUGCCAGCGGGUUAAGCCGGGAACUUUAAGGAUACUGCCAGUGACAAACUGGAGGAAGGCGGGGACGACGUCAAGUCAUCAUGGCCCUUACGACCAGGGCUACACACGUGCUACAAUGGUCGGUACAAAGGGUUGCUACCUAGCGAUAGGAUGCUAAUCUCAAAAAGCCGAUCGUAGUCCGGAUUGGAGUCUGCAACUCG